AUCCAGCUGACAAAUCCCAAAUAGAACGAAAUGCACAUCCUGAAU
rnacentral:hammerhead_ribozyme from 1 species